rnacentral:rRNA from 1 species
GUAUAAGAGACAGCAGCAGCCACGGUAAUACGUAGGGUGCAAGCGUUAAUCGGAAUUACUGGGCGUAAAGCGUGCGCAGGCGGUUAUAUAAGACAGAUGUGAAAUCCCCGGGCUCAACCUGGGAACUGCAUUUGUGACUGUAUAGCUAGAGUACGGCAGAGGGGGAUGGAAUUCCGCGUGUAGCAGUGAAAUGCGUAGAUAUGCGGAGGAACACCGAUGGCGAAGGCAAUCCCCUGGGCCUGUACUGACGCUCAUGCACGAAAGCGUGGGGAGCAAACAGGAUUAGAUACCCCAGUAGUCCCUGUCUCUUAUAC